AUGGGGAAGCCCACAGAAAAGCCCGCUGAUGGGGGAAGGAGCAACCGCCACCCCGCCCACGUGAGAAGAGAUCCCAGCAGCCAAAUGCGGAUGCGAAUAUUUACUCAACCUUCCUUUGAACGCAAAGGUAACAGGAGCACAACACCCGGCCAUGAGCAACAGGGCUCCCCGCCCUGGGCGCACCGCCACCUCCGCCGCUCGGAGUCUGCCCCGAGCGCGCACGCGCGCCGUGCACCUGCCCCAUCGCGCCCAGCGGCUGCCCGCGGGUUCUUCCAGCAGCUCCCGGCACGCCAGCGCUGUGCGGGCCGGGAGUGUCCGUCACUCUCAGCGCUCAGGAUCUCUCCCUUUCCAGGACCGCUACGAAGCAGGAAACCCUUUUCCUGUCACGUUUAUAUCCCGUUCAUUCUUCCUCCGGCCAAUUUAAGUCCAUUCACAGCCGCCACAGAUGCACGUGUGCGCGCGCGCAGCUGCACCUUUAAAGAAACUCUCAAGUCCUGGCAGCCAGAAAACCAGCUUUCGGGCGGGGCGGCGGGGCUCCCCCUCCCCUUGCCUCCUCUCUGAAGAUCCUUGUGCUCUAGGGAGGGAUGGCCGCACACUCUGACGAGGACGAAGGUGGUGCAUAACGCGGAGGUCAGUUUUGCACAGUCCGGGCAAAAGAGACCUCCCACCAGCAUCCUCGCCUGUUCAGUUUCCCUCUCUGGCCCAGCGCGAAGGACGAGGGGCGACAGAAGCCCGAGGGACAGAAAACCGAGGCCCCUCAGUGGCCGAGUUGGGAGAGGGUGUGAGUCCGGGAGAGCCCGAGGGCCGCAGGGAGAGGGCGCAGAAGGUCGAGCGCACAGAGCCAGAGGCCCCCUCUUCUCCCGCCGCGCGGAGCUGGAGGUGCAGACGCCAGGUCCGCGGCGCGGCCCGGCUAUGUGUCGCUCCUCCGCGCGCCGCCCGCCGCCGCCCGUGCCCUCGGGCCGCCGCCGCCGCUGCCCCCCGUCGAGCCCGCGGCCGCACCCUCGGGCCGAUACUUGAGCCAGCAGAUGACCCAGGUGACAACGACUGAGAAGAGUGCCAGGAUGCUGGCCACCGACAGGCAGAUGGGCCCCACGGGCGAGGGUGAGGGCGACCCAGCGGCAGGUGCCUCGCCAGGGGGCGCCCCUCCUCCGGGGGGUCCCCCGCCGCCGUAGUGGUUGACGAAGAUGAGGCCGGUGAAGAGCAGCACCACCAUGGAGAGGAAGGAGAAGACCACGCACACGCAGCCGGCGAAAUAUUGCUGAAAUUUAAAGGAGGACGAAGACACAGAUUCAUAGCUGGCUCUUGCUGUUUUCCUGACGCUGACCACAGCGGAUAGAGCCUAUUCAAUGUGAAGAUGACAAGGAUGAAGACCUUUAUGAUGAUUUACUUCCACUUAAUCAAUAGUAAAUAUAUUCUCUUCCUCAUGAUUUUCUUAAUAAUA